rnacentral:misc_RNA from 1 species
AAGUCGUAACAAGGUUUCCGUAGGUGAACCUGCGGAAGGAUCAUUAUCAAUGAGAAAAAACACUCUUACACUAGUGAACAUUAAAGAACUGUCUUUGGGGAUAACCUUUGAUUAGGUGGUCCCCAACAAAACAACACAACCUUACAACUUUAAGCAGAGUCAAUAUUAUUAAAUUAAUAAAGACAACUUUUAGCAACGGAUCUCUAGGUUCUC